rnacentral:rRNA from 1 species
UACGAAGGGGGCUAGCGUUGCUCGGAAUCACUGGGCGUAAAGCGCACGUAGGCGGCUUUCUAAGUCAGGGGUGAAAUCCUGGAGCUCAACUCCAGAACUGCCUUUGAUACUGGAGAGCUUGAGUCCGGAAGAGGUGAGUGGAACUCCGAGUGUAGAGGUGAAAUUCGUAGAUAUUCGGAAGAACACCAGUGGCGAAGGCGGCUCACUGGUCCGGUUCUGACGCUGAGGCGCGAAAGCGUGGGGAGCAACAGG